AACGCGAAGAACCUUACCUGGGCUUGACAUGUUCCCGACAGCCCCAGAGAUGGGGCCUCCCUUCGGGGCGGGUUCACAGGUGGUGCAUGGUCGUCGUCAGCUCGUGUCGUGAGAUGUUGGGUUAAGUCCCGCAACGAGCGCAACCCUCGCCCUGUGUUGCCAGCACGUCGUGGUGGGAACUCACGGGGGACCGCCGGGGUCAACUCGGAGGAAGGUGGGGAUGACGUCAGAUCAUCAUGCCCCUUACGUCCAGGGCUUCACGCAUGCUACAAUGGCCGGUACAACGGGAUGCGACCUCGUGAGGGGGAGCGGAUCCCUUAAAACCGGUCUCAGUUCGGAUUGGAGUCUGCAACCCGACUCCAUGAAGGCGGAGUCGCUAGUAAUCGCGG
rnacentral:rRNA from 1 species